rnacentral:lncRNA from 1 species
UGUACGGCUGGCUAGACCUAGGGGAAAACAAAGACCCGUUUUACAACUCAACUGGGUCGACCCAGCCCACUACAAAUGACCAACAAAAAUACAAAUUCUAAUGUUGUAACUUGAAACAAAAUUCUGGAAUUUUUAGCUCCGAAUCUGACUUCGACUCCAACACAAAAGUCGUAGCUCUCUCUCUCUUAGCUUUCCGGCGAUUUUUAGAACGCCUCAAACGGAUUCCCG